CUUCCCAUUUAUUUGCUGCUGUAAUCUCUCAGUGGUAUGAGCAGUUAUAUGUACGAGAUAAAGCAAUAUUGGGCUAUCAGAAGUUGAGGUGAAGUAUUCCAUCACUCCUGCCUGGUAUGGACAUUG
ensembl:snoRNA